GACGAACGCUGGCGGCGUGCUUAACACAUGCAAGUCGAGCGGUAAGGCCCUUUCGGGGGUACACGAGCGGCAAACGGGUGAGUAACACGUGGGUGACCUGCCCUCAGCUCUGGGAUAAGCCUGGGAAACCGGGUCUAAUACUGGAUAUGACUCCAUGACGCAUGUUGUGGGGUGGAAAGCCUUGUGCGGCUGAGGAUGGGCCCGCGGCCUAUCAGCUUGUUGGUGGGGUGAUGGCCUACCAAGGCGACGACGGGUAGCCGGCCUGAGAGGGCGACCGGCCACACUGGGACUGAGACACGGCCCAGACUCCUACGGGAGGCAGCAGUGGGGAAUCUUGCGCAAUGGGCGAAAGCCUGACGCAGCGACGCCGCGUGAGGGAUGAC
rnacentral:rRNA from 1 species